rnacentral:rRNA from 1 species
CUUUAAGUGGCGGACGGGUGAGUAACGCGUGGGGAACCUGCCUUGCACCGGGGGAGUAACACUUAGAAAUAGGUGCUAAUACCGCAUAAGCGCACAGAGCCGCAUGGCUCGGUGUGAAAAACUCCGGUGGUGCAAGAUGGACCCGCGUCUGAUUAGCUGGUUGGCGGGGUAACGGCCCACCAAGGCGACGAUCAGUAGCCGGCCUGAGAGGGUGAACGGCCACAUUGGGACUGAGACACGGCCCAAACUCCUACGGGAGGCAGCAG